UUGAUGGGAUAUUGGACAAUGGAGGCAACUCUGAUCCAGCCUGCCGCGUGCAGGAAGACGGCCCUAUGGGUUGUAAACUGCUUUUAUACAGGAAGAAACGUACCUACGUGUAGGGAUUUGACGGUACUGUACGAAUAAGGAUCGGCUAACUCCGUGCCAGCAGCCGCGGUAAUA
rnacentral:rRNA from 1 species